CAGUCGCCGCGGUAAUACGAAGGGUGCAAGCGUUAAUCGGAAUUACUGGGCGUAAAGCGUGCGUAGGCGGUUUGUUAAGUCUGUUGUGAAAUCCCCGGGCUCAACCUGGGAAUGGCAAUGGAUACUGGCAAGCUAGAGUGUGUCAGAGGAUGGUGGAAUUCCCGGUGUAGCGGUGAAAUGCGUAGAGAUCGGGAGGAACAUCAGUGGCGAAGGCGGCCAUCUGGGACAACACUGACGCUGAGGCACGAAAGCGUGGGUAGCAAACAGGAUUAGAUACCCCAGUAGUCCCUGUCUCUUAUAA
rnacentral:rRNA from 1 species